rnacentral:rRNA from 1 species
UACGGGGGGGGCAAGCGUUGUUCGGAAUUACUGGGCGUAAAGGGCUCGUAGGUGGCCAACUAAGUCGGACGUGAAAUCCCUCAGCUUAACUGGGGAACUGCGUCUGAUACUGGAUGGCUUGAGUUUGGGAGAGGGAUGCGGAAUUCCAGGUGUAGCGGUGAAAUGCGUAGAUAUCUGGAGGAACACCGGUGGCGAAGGCGGCAUCCUGGAUCAACACUGACACUGAGGAGCGAAAGCCAGGGGAGCAAACGGG